UCCAGGAAUGUAAUGAGACGCUCGGUGUUGUACGGCCCAACCCUUCCAUAGAGGUCGUCCAGGAAUGUAAUGAGACGCUCGGUGUUGUACGGCCCAACCCUUCCAUAGAGGUCGUCCAGGAAUGUAAUGAGACGCUCGGUGUUGUACGGCCCAACCCUUCCAUAGAGGUCGUCCAGGAAUGUAAUGAGACGCUCGGUGUUGUACGGCCCAACCCUUCCA